rnacentral:rRNA from 1 species
UACGAAGGGGGGCUAGCGUUGCUCGGAAUUACUGGGCGUAAAGGGCGCGUAGGCGGCUGUGUUAGUCAGGCGUGAAAUUCCUGGGCUCAACCUGGGGACUGCGCUUGAUACGGCAUGGCUUGAGGAUGGAAGAGGCUCGCGGAAUUCCCCAGUGUAGAGGUGAAAAUUCGUAGAUAUUGGGAAGAACACCAGUGGCGAAGGCGGCUCACUGGUCCGGUACUGACGCUGAUGUGCGAAAGCGUGGGGAGCAAACAGG